UGACGAGUUUGAUCCUGGCUCAGAACGUACGCUGGCGGAAUGCUUUACACAUGCAAGUCGAACGGUAGAGGGGGCAACCCCUUGAGAGUGGCGAACGGGUGAGUAAUAUAUCGGAACGUGCCCUGUCGUGGGGGAUAACGUAGCGAAAGUUACGCUAAUACCGCAUACGAUCUAAGGAUGAAAGCGGGGGAUCUUCGGACCUUGCGUUAAUGGAGCGGCUGAUAUCUGAUUAGCUAGUUGGUGAGGUAAAGGCUCACCAAGACAAUGAUCAAUAGCUGAUCUG
rnacentral:rRNA from 1 species